GAGGCUAUACGUUGGAUUUCACACGGCAAGCCGGGUAAGUGAUUUUUUUUCUCUCCUCUCAAUUUGUCUCCUUUCAAGACUGCUCUGCCGUGUAUGCCGUUUUUUGCACGUCUCUGUAUUUGUUUCACAGCUGCGAUUUAUAUCAUGGAAUAAGACUGCCCUUUUCUUUUCAGACGAAAUGAUAUUCCCCGCUUUUGCCGAAAUUAUAGUUUUUGUAUGCAUGAUUUGCCCGUGAAUUUCGUUUGACUCCAAAUUUCUGCGGACCCAUCCCGCUGUGCGAUUUAUUUAAUUUUUUGUGUAGGGCAGUUUUUAUUUUUCAAUGGAAAUAUCAAAUUCUGCUUGUUUUAUAAAUUAUAUCUGAAACUUGUUUAAUUUGAUACACAUUUUGUAAAGAAAUGC
rnacentral:lncRNA from 1 species